UGUACCGGUACAAGGUAAUGGCUGUACCGGUACAGCAAGCAGAAAAAGGCUGAUUUCGCCAGUUCAAUGCACUUUCUCGUUUUUAACCCUCCAAUCACUCUCUAACUUAUUCAAAAACUUGUCCAAGUCAUUUAGAACAUGUAGAAUAGCUCCACACUUCAUUCCACACACUCGAACUCUGUAAUUUGCGAAAGUUCAGUGUAUUACAUUCACCCCUAGAGGCUCACAUUAUUUUAACCGUACAUUUCUUCAUCCAAAGGCCGAAACCUAAUAAUACCAACUACUUGGCACUAUUGAUAACAUUCCAGCCUAGUUCUAUAUUUUUUAUUAUUUUUUAUUAUCUUUGAAAUAGUUACCAAACAUAUUUUUAAUUAUUUUUAUGAAUACUUUUUUUAAGCAAAAUACAACUCUAAACUUAUUUUUAUAUAUUUCAAAAUAACUAGUUAUUUCAAGAAUAAAAAAAAUUUAUUACUAAAAAUAUUAACCCCCAAAUAAAACAUAUAACUUCUUAUUAAAAAUACUGUGUAGUGCGUCCG
rnacentral:lncRNA from 1 species